rnacentral:rRNA from 1 species
AUCAACUUUCGAUGGUAGGAUAGAGGCCUACCAUGGUGGUAACGGGUAACGGGGUGUUAGGGCACGACACCGGAGAGGGAGCCUGAGAAACGGCUACCACAUCCAAGGAUGGCAGCAGGCGCGCAAAUUACCCAAUCCCGACACGGGGAGGUAGUGACAAUAAAUAACAAUACGGGGUCCUUUAGGGUUUCGUAAUUGGAAUGAGUACAAUUUAAAUCUCUUAACGAGGAACAAUUGGAGGGCAAGUCUGGUGCCAGCAGCCGCGGUAAUUCCAGCUCCAAUAGCGUAUAUUAAAGUUGUUGCAGUUAAAAAGCUCGUAGUUGAAUUCCGGGAUCAGUACGCCGGUCGUGCCUUCGGUAUGCACUGGUGUCACUGGUUUCUCCCUUCUGAAGAACCAUCAUGCCAUUCAGUUGGUGUGGCGGGGAAUCAGGACUGUUACUUUGAAAAAAUUAGAGUGUUUAAAGCAGGCUCGCGCUUGAAUACAUUAGCAUGGAAUAAUGAAAUAGGACGUUUGACCCUAUUUUGUUGGUUUCUAGGAUCGACGUAAUGAUUAAUAGGGAUAGUUGGGGGCAUUAGUAUUCAAUUGUCAGAGGUGAAAUUCUUGGAUUUAUUGAAGACUAACUACUGCGAAAGCAUUUGCCAAGGAUGUUUUCAUUAAUCAAGAACGAAAGUUAGGGGAUCGAAGACGAUCAGAUACCGUCGUAGUCUUAACCAUAAACUAUGCCGACUAGGGAUCGGAUGAUGUUAAUUUUUUAAUGACUCAUUCGGCGCCUUACGGGAAACCAAAGUGUUUGGGUUC